UUUCUCUGCAAAUAAUCUGUGUUUAAAAUUGAAAGGAAAAAAACCAAGAAUUCAAAAAAUGGUUGGCUAUGUUGGGGUGUUUGUGUCGGAUCCAUGGCUUCAAUUCACUCAAGUAGAGCUCUGGAGCUUGAAAACCCAAGGAACUUAGACAUUUUUAUGAGAAUUCGUACAAUGCCCUUGAAAAUAGUCUGCAGGAGAUAGAUAAAUUACUGAAUGAGUGCUCUUGAGCUCAAGGUAAAUAUCUUGAAAUCCCAUGUUUUCAGACUUCAAUGACCAUUUCUGUAAUUUUUAGACUUUUUUACUUUUCAGUAUUUACAUUUAGGUACGACCUUGCCAAUGCUACCAUCUUCAUGGGCCAGUCCGUAAGUGGAAAAAGAAGUGGGUCAAUAUGCCGCUCUCCAAUUUCAACCAAAUGGCAACAGACGCACCGUUAAUGGCUCCUCCCACCUCUUACUCUUCAAGUAUAUUCAUUCCUAGAAUCUAACUGUCUUUCUGCUGAAAAAUCUCAACUUUCUUGAUGGAAACUACUGGGUUUUCUUCUCCGAGACCAGAUGCUUUUCCGACACGUCUUAGGGUUCUUGUUGUUGAUGAUGAUCCCACCUGGUUGAAGAUUCUUGAGAAGAUGCUCAAGAAGUGUUCGUAUCAAGAAUCUCGAACUGGAAUUCUGUACAACCCAGCAGUGACCACCCAGAAGUCAAAGCACCGCCGACGAGGACCACCGAUUUUUUGACACGUGAAAAGAUACUCAAUAUCUAGUGCCACUAUUCUUUUCAAGUUUCACUGCGCGUAAUGAAUAUCCAAGGUUUACGCUUUUGUCUUCUCUCUGUCCAAUUCUAAAUUCUGUUUUUGGCGAGAAAUAAAAAAACUUAACCGAAUUAUGGGGAAGAUAACGAGGUUGAUUACUGGUGGGGUGCAGUACAAUGAAGUGGGUGUUGGUUUAUGUGAAUUUUUUUUUUGUUAUGAGACAUUGGAUGCACAAUCUUCUCUUCUGUCCAAUUCCAAAAUUCAAUUGUUGUGUUAUGAGACAUUGGAUUGGUUUCCUAAUUAAUUAAUGGUAUAUUUUAUCA